rnacentral:rRNA from 1 species
CCUACGGGAGGCAGCAGUGAGGAAUAUUGGUCAAUGGACGAGAGUCUGAACCAGCCAAGUAGCGUGAAGGAUGACUGCCCUAUGGAUUGUAAACUUCUUUUAUAUGGGAAUAAAAUGUUCCACGUGUGGGAUUUUGUCUGUACCAUAUGAAUAAGGAUCGGCUAACUCCGUGCCAGCAGCCGCGGUAAUACGGAGGAUCCGAGCGUUAUCCGGAUUUAUUGGGUUUAAAGGGAGCGUAGGUGGAUUGUUAAGUCAGUUGUGAAAGUUUGCGGCUCAACCGUAAAAUUGCAGUUGAAACUGGCAGUCUUGAGUACAGUAGAGGUGGGCGGAAUUCGUGGUGUAGCGGUGAAAUGCUUAGAUAUCAGGAAGAACUCCGAUUGCGAAGGCAGCUCACUGGACUGCAACUGACACUGAGGCUCGAAAGUGUGGGUAGCAAACAGGAUUAGAUACCCGUGUAGUC